UAAAAAACAAAGAACAGAAGAGUACCUUUAUUAUUUCGUUCAAGAGAGUCUUUGGCUGGUGGAAAAAGACAGGAAAAUAAAGCGAACCACAUCUGGGAGUUAACUUUUUGAAAGUAGUCAGUAGGAAAGUUCGGGAGUGCCCGUUAGCGCAUGGAAGUCUAUGACUUCAUGAGAUUAUCGUUGUGAGACGAUAAUGAAAAAAGGUGGAACCACGAUUUUACGUCCUUUAG
rnacentral:ncRNA from 1 species